AAAAGAUGCCACAGUGACUCCUUAAAGAAGGGAACGACCCUAUUUCAUCCACAAUAGUGUCAUCGCGCUAUUUUCUCCAACCUAUUAGCCCAAGGGUCCGAAUAUUCCUCUUUAAGAAAGAAGAAGUUGCUUUCACCUUUUCGUGGUGAUGAUUUGCAAUAUGUCGAUGCCUCUUCUGAAUUGGAAGAUAAUAUCGCUAAUGCAGAUGAUUGUUGAUAAAUAAUUUAUACUAUGUUGUUGCCUCAUGAAAUGCUGAUGUUAGCCUUCCAAAAUUAGAAACUAUUUUUUGUAUGUGGUUAUGUAUGUAUGAUUAAGUCCACUUUUAGACUAUAUAUCCUUCAUUUUGGGUGAAAUUAUUUAUUUGUAGGCUAUAUCUAUGGUUUUUUUAUAUGUUAUUUCAAAUAUAGCACGCUAUUAGCACGAUAUAGUGUCCACAGUGUUUGAAGUAGGCCACCGCUAUUUUAAACCUUGAUUUUAGUCGACCGCUCGCACAACGUUUCCUGAUGCUGAAUCAUCCUAACAAAUUGGCAAAAGGUAUUGUUAAUUUAAUCAAUGAUCACGAAAGUUUAAACAUGACGGAAUCGGACGAAACCUAGAUUUCCGUGCCAAUCACCGUAAAAGGGCUCAAUUAUGUUAUGUAUUUGCAAAAUAUUUGGGUGUAUAAAAUCAUUUUACAUUGUCGUGUACUCUUUUAAUAUAAAUGCACAUUAAGUUGGUAAACUCUCUUUUAACUUGAACACAUCCAUUUGCAGUACAAGUCUCUGGAAGCUCACAUGGUGAAAAUAAAAUAACUAGGAAGAGAAAGUAAACAUUGCAAAUAUUAGUAUCAGCCAACACUGCUCUUUUUUUCUGAAUUUUUUCCAUUUUACCCAAUUGUUAGUCCACAUUAUCUGGUGCCCUAAAAUAGAACAUCUAAGAGAGUAGACCGAAACCACAGUUAGCUUGCUAAGAGUGCAGACUGAAACCAAAGAUCUUGACAUAGUUUAAUUGUACACCAUGCGUUUAUUUUUCCAACUUGACCAUCAGUUUGAUCAAAAAAGUUGAGAAGUUUUGCUUUUGGCGAAGGGAGCGCCUCUUAUCCUAUUCAACUCAUAGCAAACAUGAUGAAAAUAAUUAUAAAUUACAUAAUGUAAAUAAGGUAUAUCAUUGUAUAUUUCAGAAAAUAUUUUACAUUGCAUGGUUUCCCAAUAAGAAAUUGUACACUUCAUUUAUGUUUAUCUAUGACAAAGCAAACACAAUACUGGAUGUUGCUGAGCUAAACAACACUUUAUACUCACACCGUUUCUAUGACAACACCUUGUGAUUAGAGAUAGUAUGUAAAGAAACCAUAUAGAUGAACAACACAACUACGAGAUUAGUUGGCCCACACAAGAAAACAAUAAUUUAACAACCUCUGCAUUUGAAUAUUAUUGUAAUUAAUUUGUGUAGUUUUUUCAUACAUAUAUAUAACUAGAACUCACAAACUUAGAUAUAUAUUUCUCAUAUAUUAGAGGUGUAAAACUUCUUUUGAGGAUUUAAUAAUCAGAUUAAAUAUCCGCUCAUACUCUUUACCAUCCCAAAUUAAGGAAAAAUGUCAUGAUUGGCCGGCUAUGUUAAUUUCUUUACUCGCAUUGUACAAGUAGAGAGUAUUAUAUAUUCUAUGUAUUGUGUGCACAUAGGAUAUUUUACAUUUAAAUAUCUCAACUUAAGGUUUAAUUUACACGAUUUCAAUUAGAUGUAUCUAGUGUAAUCUGAAUGCCUAGUAUGUGGUAAGUAGCCAACAAUUGCAAUUUUGAAUGAUUUACUUAAGUAUGUUAUGUAGUUGCAAAAUAUUUGGGUGUAUAAAAUCAUAUAUUGUCUUGUACUUUUUUAAUAUAAAUGCAUAUUAAUUUGGCAACUCACUUUUAACUUGAACACAUCCAUUUACAAGCUCACAUGGUGAAAAGAAAAUAACUAGGUAGAGGAAGUAAAGACUGCAAAUAUUAGUAUCAGUUGGCAUUGGUCUAUUUUUUUCUGAAUUAUUCCAUUAUACCCAAUUGACAGCGCAUAUUAUUUGGUGCCCUAAAAUAAAACAUCUACGGGAGAUGCUCUGACAGAGCCCCCAUUUUUCUGCCGGUGGCGUGUUAAGCCAGCAUCUCUUGAUUCUUUUAAUUAAAAAUGGGGAGAAUUUUAUUUCCCGGCCUCUGCCCAUGGCCAUUAAGAAUGAGUACUAAGAUUUUUAAUCUUGGUGAAGAUUAAAGCAUAGUUCUCAAGAUAAAUUGCAUGAGUACCAGCCUAGGCCUCAAGUAUAAAUAGGAACCUAAAUUCGUGUAUGUGAGGAUUUGAACUCAGGUGUUGGGUAUGUACAUCCACUCUCCCAACCAGUUGAGCUAGGCUCUCCUUCGAUGCCGCUGGUUCCCCUCUUGCCCCGCGUGGUGAUGGGAGGAACCGUAAAAAAUCCUCCGCCGCCAGCCCCCCACCCCACCCCUCCUUCCUCUUGGUCUUCAUCUUUGAUCUGGCUGGAGUGAUGAGUUCCGGAAAGCUCCGCCAGCGAAUGUAACAGUGCAUCUUAUGUGUGGAGUUUGUUGUAUCGGGUGGUAUUCGGUCGUACACACCCAUGCUUUUAUCCUGGCCGUUUGUUCUGGAGGGAGCGACCCGAAACUCUAUUCUGUGUUGCCAUCAGAUGACCAGCUGUUCCAUGGUAAAAUCAUAGGCGCAAAAUAUUCAACUAGCUAUGGAGUUUCGAGUCUGUAGUUGAGGAACUUGCUUGUUGUCUGGGUUUCGCAGUAGCAAUAUGCAAGUGGUGGGGGCAGCAUAGGUGAAUUAAGAGUCUUAACUCUCAGGGUGAAAAUUAAAGGUCUAGUCUUAACUGGUUGUGCCUGACAACGGCUAAGUUGAAGGCAUUAUUUUGAGAGCGAGGACUAUUUUCAGGGUGAAAAGCUAAGAUCAUUUAAUCGGGCGACGAUGGUGUUUGUGCACUGUUUCUUUCUUGACGGCCUCGCUUUUUGGAGAGACUGUAGUUCUGGUGUUAUCGUGGUGGUGGAUUUAUUGUUGCUUGUAGGGCCGAAAUACCGUAGCGGGGCUAUUUUUUUUUUUUGGUUUCUUAGUUUUUUUUGGGGGUGCGUGUAUCCGCACUAGCAUCAGGGUAUUGCGUUAUCGAUAUUAAUAUAUUUCUUUUAUCGGAAAAAAUCUCUUGAUUCUCUUUGCAGUUCCACCGUGAUAACCAUCUACGUUCGAUGCUACAUGCAAGAGCUUUGGUGUAUGAAGUUCCCCUGGCUUCACCUAGUUUAACUGUGUUGCAAGCGAGAAGAAGGAAAGAUCAAGGAAUCGACACAUGUUACAUAUGUUAACUCUGACAGUGUAGCUCGGUUGGGUGUGUACCCCUGUAGUUGUUUGUCUCAACUCUCAAAUGCCGCCAAAAUAUGCAUCAUCUUUUUUUUUUUUGCGGGGGAUAUGCAUCAUCUUAUUUGUGCUACGGUUGUAUCUUUGCUCUUCAUCACUUACAUGAUAACAGGGCAUGUGUUGAA